UACGGGGGGGGUAAGCGUUGUUCGGAAUUACUGGGCGUAAAGCGCGCGUAGGCGGCUUUGUAAGUUAGAGGUGAAAGCCCGGGGCUCAACCCCGGAAUUGCCUUUAAGACUGCAUCGCUUGAAUCCGGGAGAGGUGAGUGGAAUUCCGAGUGUAGAGGUGAAAUUCGUAGAUAUUCGGAAGAACACCAGUGGCGAAGGCGGCUCACUGGACCGGCAUUGACGCUGAGGUGCGAAAGCGUGGGGAGCAAACAGG
rnacentral:rRNA from 1 species